rnacentral:rRNA from 1 species
GAUGAACGCUGGCGGCGUGCCUAAUACAUGCAAGUCGAGCGAACGGACGAGAAGCUUGCUUCUCUGAUGUUAGCGGCGGACGGGUGAGUAACACGUGGAUAACCUACCUAUAAGACUGGGAUAACUUCGGGAAACCGGAGCUAAUACCGGAUAAUAUUUUGAACCGCAUGGUUCAAAAGUGAAAGACGGUCUUGCUGUCACUUAUAGAUGGAUCCGCGCUGCAUUAGCUAGUUGGUAAGGUAACGGCUUACCAAGGCAACGAUGCAUAGCCGACCUGAGAGGGUGAUCGGCGACCCUGGAAGGGGGACACGGUCCUGACGCCUACGAGAGGCAGCAGUAGGGAAUCUUCCGCAAUGGGCGAAAGCCUGACGGAGCAACGCGGCGUGAGUGAUGAAGGUCUUCGGAGCGUAAAACUCUGUUAUUAGGGAAGAACAUAUGUGUAAGUAACUGUGCACAGCUUGACGGUACCUAAUCAGAAAGCCACGGCUAACUACGUG